AGAUGGGAGCUUGCUCCCUGAUGUUAGCGGCGGACGGGGGAGUAACACGUGGGUAACCUGCCUGUAAGACUGGGAUAACUCCGGGAAACCGGGGCUAAUACCGGAUGGUUGUUUGAACCGCAUGGUUCAGACAUAAAAGGUGGCUUCGGCUACCACUUACAGAUGGACCCGCGGCGCAUUAGCUAGUUGGUGAGGUAACGGCUCACCAAGGCGACGAUGCGUAGCCGACCUGAGAGGGUGAUCGGCCACACUGGGACUGACACACGGCCCACACUCCUACGGGAGGCAGCAGUAGGGAAUCUUCCGCAAUGGACGAAAGUCUGACGGAGCAACGCCGCGUGAGUGAUGAAGGUUUUCGGAUCGUAAAGCUCUGUUGUUAGGGAAGAACAAGUGCCGUUCAAAUAGGGCGGCACCUUGACGGUACCUAACCAGAAAGCCACGGCUAACUACGUGCCAGCAGCCGCGGUAAUACGUAGGUGGCAAGCGUUGUCCGGAAUUAUUGGGCGUAAAGGGCUCGCAGGCGGUUUCUUAAGUCUGAUGUGAAAGCCCCCGGCUCAACCGGGGAGGGUCAUUGGAAACUGGGGAACUUGAGUGCAGAAGAGGAGAGUGGAAUUCCACGUGUAUCGGUGAAAUGCGUAUAGAUGUGGAGGAACACCAGUGGCGAAGGCGACUCUCUGGUCUGUAACUGACGCUGAGGAGCGAAAGCGUGGGGAGCGAACAGGAUUAGAUACCCUGGUAGUCCACGCCGUAAACGAUGAGUGCUAAGUGUUAGGGGGUUUCCGCCCCUUAGUGCUGCAGCUAACGCAUUAAGCACUCCGCCUGGGGAGUACGGUCGCAAGACUGAAACUCAAAGGAAUUGACGGGGGCCCGCACAAGCGGUGGAGCAUGUGGUUUAAUUCGAAUCAACGCGAAGAACCUUACCAGGUCUUGACAUCCUCUGACAAUCCUAGAGAUAGGACGUCCCCUUCGGGGGCAGAGUGACAGGUGGUG
rnacentral:rRNA from 1 species